rnacentral:rRNA from 1 species
WAAAGGACUUUAACUAAGCCCUAUUCCAAAACCAAAUUUUCAACGAUGGAUAUCUUGGUUCCCAUAACGAUGAAGAACGCAGCGAAGUGCGAUAAGCAGUGCGAAUUGCAGAACCGUGAGUCAUCAGAUUUUUGAACGCAAAUGGCGCCAGUU